GCCCAGGACGGGCAGGAGUGACGGAUUCUGGUGGAGGGAGUGAUGGUGGCCGCCACCAGGCUGAAGGUGACGAUGAGGACGCCCAGGAUGGCUUGCACGAGACCCAGCACCAGCAGGACCUGCAGCCAGCUGCCCCUGGACCGCACAGUGACCCCAUCCCGGGACCGGGACACCGACCCGUCCCUGCCCGGGACCGGGACACCGACCCGUCCCUGCCCGGUCCCCUCAAAAUACCCUCUGAACAGACCGAGAGUGACAUAUGAAUCCCACAGGGCACAGUAGAACAACCCCAGGCUCAGCUGCUGCCGGGCCAAACCCAGACCAGUCCCACCAGUUCCAUAACUUACAAGGAAACAGAAAAGCUACAGAGAGCUGCGAGUCCUGGAGUAUUUACACCAAGGAGGGCAGGAACAGGAGACAAAGCAACACAGGACAAGAGGUAUUUACAGCACGGACACACAGGCCCCCCUCACCUCACGAGAACGGCAGCAGCGACAGCAGGUCAGGCCCGUGGUGCUCCUAGGCUGACAGAGAAUCUGGGCUAUUUACAGUAUCUCACAUAUUAACAGCUUUACAAACUUGUCCAGGAAGUUUCAUCUCAUGUAU